UACGUAGGGGGCAAGCGUUAUCCGGAUUUACUGGGUGUAAAGGGAGCGUAGACGGCGAUGCAAGUCUGAAGUGAAAGGCGGGGGCCCAACCCCCGGACUGCUUUGGAAACUGUAUGGCUGGAGUGCAGGAGAGGUAUGUGGAAUUCCUAGUGUAGCGGUGAAAUGCGUAGAUAUUAGGAGGAACACCAGUGGCGAAGGCGGCUUACUGGACUGUAACUGACGUUGAGGCUCGAAAGCGUGGGGAGCAAACAGG
rnacentral:rRNA from 1 species